rnacentral:rRNA from 1 species
GACGAACGCUGGCGGCGUGCUUAACACAUGCCAGUCGAACGGAAAGGCCCUGCUUUUGUGGGGUGCUCGAGUGGCGAACGGGUGAGUAACACGUGAGUAACCUGCCCUUGACUUUGGGAUAACUUCAGGAAACUGGGGCUAAUACCGGAUAGGAGCUCCUGCUGCAUGGUGGGGGUUGGAAAGUUUCGGCGGUUGGGGAUGGACUCGCGGCUUAUCAGCUUGUUGGGGGGGUAGUGGCUUACCAAGGCUUUGACGGGUAGCCGGCCUGAGAGGGUGACCGGCCACAUUGGGACUGAGAUACGGCCCAGACUCCUACGGGAGGCAGCAGUGGGGAAUAUUGCACAAUGGGCGGAAGCCUGAUGCAGCAACGCCGCGUGCGGGAUGACGGCCUUCGGGUUGUAAACCGCUUUCGCCUGUGACGAAGCGGGAGUGACGGUAAUGGGUAAAGAAGCACCGGCUAACUACGUG